GCAACGACCCAGUUACUAGCGGGAGCUGCUCCUCUCUUCUCUAACUCGGAAAGUAAUAUGAGAAGCAUCUGAAACCCUAAACUUUUUAUAUCUGAUCAAUUAUCUCUCUCCCUCGCUACUUAUUAUUAAUAAUGAUGGCAUCUCUGCUUCACUUCUCCACAGCAUCCACUUCUUCACUCCCUUCUUUUCUUCGCUCAAGUUUCUUCUCCAAAGAGCCUCGCUUCCCUCUCCGACAAGGCGUCAGGUGUAAUCUGGUGGAGCCGCUCAAGUUUGACAACGGCAAGCCUUGCAUCCCGCUCCUUAGUCCUAGCGAACAAUCAUUCCCAAGUUUUUUAGCUUCUACAGCCCACUUGGAUAACAGUAUUACUAACAGACAUGACACCAGGCUCCGCAUUUUCUCCGGCACUGCCAAUCCUGCACUCUCUCAGGAAAUCGCAUGCUACAUGGGUUUGGAGCUUGGAAAGAUUAAAAUAAAGCGUUUUGCUGAUGGUGAGAUUUAUGUCCAAUUGCAAGAAAGUGUCAGAGGAUGUGAUGUUUUCCUUGUGCAACCGACAUGUCCUCCUGCAAAUGAGAAUCUUAUGGAGCUUUUGAUAAUGAUUGAUGCUUGUCGGAGAGCUUCCGCCAAAAAUAUUACUGCAGUGAUUCCAUAUUUUGGGUAUGCCAGAGCUGAUAGGAAGACUCAAGGGCGUGAAUCCAUUGCUGCCAAACUUGUAGCAAAUUUGAUUACAGAAGCAGGUGCAAACCGUGUUCUUGCUUGUGAUCUUCAUUCUGGGCAGUCAAUGGGGUAUUUUGAUAUUCCCGUGGAUCAUGUCUAUGGUCAGCCUGUGAUACUUGAUUACCUUGCAAGCAAGACUAUUUGUUUCUGAUGACUUGGUGGUGGUCUCCCCUGAUGUUGGUGGCGUAGCGAGAGCACGUUCUUUUGCCAAGAAAUUAUCAGAUGCACCUCUAGCCAUUGUGGAUAAAAGGCGUCAUGGGCACAAUGUUGCGGAGGUGAUGAAUUUGAUAGGGGAUGUGAAGGGAAAGGUUGCAGUCAUGGUGGAUGACAUGAUUGACACAGCUGGGACUAUUACUAAAGGUGCAGCUUUAUUGCAUCAAGAGGGAGCAAGAGAGGUCUAUGCAUGCAGUACACAUGCUGUUUUCAGUCCUCCUGCUAUAGAGAGAUUAUCAAGUGGUCUUUUUCAAGAGGUGAUCAUAACCAACACAAUACCAGUGUUGGAGCAGAACUAUUUUCCUCAGCUCACCAUCUUGUCAGUAGCAAACCUCCUGGGCGAGACCGUAUGGCGUGUUCAUGAUGACUGCUCUGGUGCCUUUGAACCCUAUUCCAGCUUGGGCAUUGACUGAUCAAUUCACAAGCAGUGGUUUGUCUCCCAGCUUCCACUGUUGCCAUUUUUAUCUGUCCUUCAAAAGUGUAAUCAAUUUAUAACAAAAUAGAAAAUUUCUGUUUAGAGAAACCAUGUCUUUAGUCAUUGGUAUGCAGAACUUGAUGCAACAAGUGUGUUGGGCUACAGUGUUUUUUCUUUUAUUCCCCCUAAUGUGUUGAUGAUAAAACUCUGUUGAAGUUAUCCUCAUAAAUGAUAUAAGCUGCGUAUUUCCAAACAGAAAUUUUCUAUUUUGUUAUAAAU
rnacentral:misc_RNA from 1 species